rnacentral:rRNA from 1 species
ACUCCUACGGGAGGCAGCAGUGGGGAAUAUUGCGCAAUGGCCGCAAGGCUGACGCAGCGACGCCGCGUGUGGGAUGACGGCCUUCGGGUUGUAAACCACUGUCGAGAGGGACGAAUACGGGGCCUCGAAUAGGGGACCUCGGGUGACGGUACCUCUAAAGGAAGCACCGGCUAACUCCGUGCCAGCAGCCGCGGUAAUACGGAGGGUGCGAGCGUUGUCCGGAAUUACUGGGCGUAAAGGGCGCGUAGGCGGUUCGCUAAGUUGCUGGUGAAAUCCCGGGGCUCAACUCCGGGGCUGCCGGUAAGACUGGCGGGCUCGAGCACGGUAGAGGCAGAUGGAAUUCCCGGUGUAGCGGUGGAAUGCGUAGAUAUCGGGAAGAAUACCGGUGGCGAAGGCGUUCUGCUGGGCCGUUGCUGACGCUGAGGCGCGACAGCGUGGGGAGCAAACAGGAUUAGAUACCCUGGUAGUCCACGCCGUAAACGAUGGACACUAGGCGUCGGGGGGAGCGACCCUCCCGGUGCCGUCGCUAACGCAGUAAGUGUCCCGCCUGGGGAGUACGGCCGCAAGGCUGAAACUCAAAGGAAUUGACGG